AGUCUUCCCAGGCCCACCACUUUCAUCGAGUGAGCAUUCGUCUUCUGGUUACGGGGCCAUAGCUCAGCUGGGAGAGCGCGUGCUUUGCAAGCAUGAGGUCGUCGGUUCGAUCCCGUCUGGCUCCACCAGAUGGUUUGAUCACCUGCGACUGACCGUCGUCCGCGAAACAUCACUUCGCAUUCACUAGUCUGGAUAGACAGUGAACUGCGUGUUUUCUGACAUCGUAAAGAGGAGAUCGAUCCGAGUUGGGUCGUGCAGCAGAUUGUUGCGCGGAUCCUUCAUUAUCUCCGGAUCAUUUUCGGCGCUCGCUUUCAGCCGUGAGGCUGAACGCGAGUUGUAAAAUGAUCCUUUUAGCGAAGCUUGACCGCCUCGCUAUCGGAACGAUCUUACGAAGCAAGCUGGUCUUUCUAGUCAAUGUCCGGCUGUGAGAAUAGCGCUCGUCGAGGGCGCGUGCCGCAGGGCGGUUCUUACAGGCAGCAUUCUGCCGAGUGUGUGGACAUUGAUAAUGAGAGCAAUCAAGUGCCUUAAGGGUGUUCGGUGGAUGCCUUGGCGCUGAGAGGCGAUGAAGGACGUGCUACGCUGCGAUAAGCCGUGGGGAGCUGCGAAGAAGCUUUGAUCCGCGGAUUUCCGAAUGGGGAAAACCCGGA
rnacentral:misc_RNA from 1 species